GUGGUAAUACCCAGCUCAACCAGUGAGAAGUGAGCCAGCGGGAUUGCUUUAGCAAUUCGGGGUCUUUUGUUGCCUCCCAGGGGCAUCUUCAUCUUCAUAGAGAACCCUUGGAAAUCUUCCAGAUGCGAAUGAAUGGACUGAUAAUGGUAGAUUGGAGGCCCAGUGACUAGCUUGUGUGUGUGUGUGAACUGCCACCUACCAGCUGUGCAACCUUGGGUGAGUCCCUCCACCUCUCUGAGCUCAGUGUGUUCAUCCACGAUGUGGAGGCUGCUGUCCCAGGCACAGCUGCAGCAACGGCCGGUGUGUUGGGGCGGCCGGGAUAUCGAGUGCGGAUGAACUUCGGCAGCAGGAGGGUGUCUGCGGAGAGACAAGCCAACAUCUGCAUCGGAAAGCAAAUAGACGCACACGUUUCCCUCCGUUUAACCCAUUAAAGGCCGGCAUUCCAUCACCUGGGUCUUGUGAUUUUUUUCCCACUUAAAUCUGUUUUAUACGGGAGGCCACUACUAAGGCUCAGAGAGGUUAAGACACUCGAUUAGGGUCGCACAGCAGGGAUGGAGAGGUGGGCAGCGAACGCGGUAAACCA
rnacentral:lncRNA from 1 species